rnacentral:tRNA from 1 species
GCCCCCGUAGCUUAACUGGAUAGAGCAUCAGAUUUCGGCUCUGAGGGUUAGGGGUUCGACUCCCUUCGGGGGUA